rnacentral:lncRNA from 1 species
GAUUUGGAGUUGUUAUGACUUUGUAAGAGCUUUGCAAAGUCAAGGUUUGUUUCGGAUGACUUGGGUUUUAUGAAAUAAAAUAGGAUUUACGUUUUGGAUGAUUUCAAGAGUUUUAUAGCGGAUCUAUAGUUGAAAUUCUGUGGAUUUAUGGUUAUAGUUGUGUUCAACAUGUGUUGUAAAUUUGAGCUCGAUCUAACAGUUGAAUUAAAGUAUAUUGAGGUUUAAGUGGGUCAAGGUCUCAUAAAGUAGAAUUUUAGGUCCAUUGAGGGUUUUAAGAUUUCUUGCAAUCUACUGCUUGGAUUGGAGUGAAACUUAUGUGAAAGGAUAUUAGACUUAUUUUUCUAUGUGCAUGAAAAUUUAGAGAUCAAUCGAACGGUGCAAAGGAGAGAUAUCGGCUUUGGAAGAUUGGCAUCAAGAUUAGAGAAGGAGGCUGGCCAAUACCCGAGCACAUUUUUGAAGUUAUUAUCAAUUUGGUAACUCCGAUCCUUUUCAAUUUUUUGAUGCUUAUUUUUAACUUAUUUUUUAGAAGUGUGAAAAAUUUGAAUUAAGAUCGACGAUUUAUUCAUUAGUUAUUGAGGUUUAAAUCUGUUGCAAGAAUUACUAGGAUUUGGUUUAGGAUUUGGUUAGGGUUUGAUUUAGGGUUUAGGAUUUUUUUAGGGUUUGGUUUAGGGUUUAGGGUUUAGAUUUUGGAUUAGAAUUUAGUUUAGGGUUUGAUUAGGGUUUUAUUUAGGAUUUAGGAUUUGGUUAGGAUUUGAUUUAGGGUUUAGGAUUUAGUUAGAGUUUGGUUUAGGAUUUAGGAUUUAGAUUAGGAUUUGAUUUAGGAUUUAGGAUUUGAAUUAGAAUUUGAUUAGGGUUUGAUUUAGGAUUUAGGAUUUGGUUGUGAUUUGGUUUAAGGUUUGUUUAGGGUUUGAUUUAGGAUUUAAGAUUUUAUUAGGAUUUAAGAUUCAAUUAGUUUUGGCCUAAAUUUUGAAUGAAGUUUAAUAGGAUUUUAAGUAGAAUUAAAUUAAGAUUGAAUUGAAAUGUAUUUGAGUGAUAUUUGUGAUUCUUCUAAUAUUUCUUUAAGAAUUCUUAUUGUUUGUUUGAAAUUUCUCUAAGGUUUCUUUGAAUUUGAUUAAGCUUGCUUACCAUUAUUAUGGUCUAAUUAGAGUAUUAUUAGUAUUCUAU